rnacentral:tRNA from 1 species
GGAGUUGUGGCUCAAUGGUAGAGCAUUUGCCUCAUAUGUGUGAGGCACUGGGUUCAAUUCUCAGAACUUCA